CCUACGGGAGGCAGCAGUAGGGAAUCUUCCACAAUGGACGAAAGUCUGAUGGAGCAACGCCGCGUGAGUGAAGAAGGGUUUCGGCUCGGAAAGCUCUGUUGGUAGUGAAGAAAGAUAGAGGAAGUAACUCGCCUUUAUUUGACGGUAAUUACUUAGAAAGUCACGGCUAACUACGUGCCAGCAGCCGCGGUAAUACGUAGGGGGCAAGCGUUGUCCGGAUUUAUUGGGCGGAAAGGGAGUGCAGGCGGUCCUGUAAGUCUGAUGUGAAAGCCUUCGGCUCAACCGGAGAAUUGCAUAAGAAACUGUUGAACUUGAGUGCAGAAGAGGAGAGUGGAACUCCAGGUGUAGCGGUGUAAUGCGUAGAUAUAUGGAAGAACACCAGUGGCGAAGGCGGCUUUCUGGGCUGUAACUGACGCUGAGGCACGAAAGCAUGGGUAGCGAACAGGAUUAGAUACCCGAGUAGUC
rnacentral:rRNA from 1 species